rnacentral:rRNA from 1 species
UACAGAGGGGGCAAGCGUUGUUCGGAAUUACUGGGCGUAAAGGGCGCGUAGGCGGCUUUUCAAGUCGGGCGUGAAAUCUCCGGGCUUAACCCGGGAAGGGUCGUUCGAUACUGUUGAGCUAGAGUGUGGAAGAGGCAACUAGAAUUCCGUGUGUAGCGGUGAAAUGCGUAGAUAUACGGAGGAAUACCUGAGGCGAAGGCGGGUGCUGGGCCAACACUGACGCUGAUGCGCGAAAGCCAGGGGAGCAAACGGG